rnacentral:rRNA from 1 species
AGAUUGAACGCUGGCGGCAGGCCUAACACAUGCAAGUCGAGCGGUAGAGAGGUGCUUGCAUCUCUUGAGAGCGGCGGACGGGUGAGUAAUGCCUAGGAAUCUGCCUAGUGGUGGGGGAUAACGUUCGGAAACGGACGCUAAUACCGCAUACGUCCUACGGGAGAAAGUGGGGGAUCUUCGGACCUCACGCUAUCAGAUGAGCCUAGGUCGGAUUAGCUAGUUGGUAGGUAAAGGCCUACCAAGGCUACGAUCCGUAACUGGUCUGAGAGGAUGAUCAGUCACACUGGAACUGAGACACGGUCCAGACUCCUACGGGAGCAGCAGUGGGGAAUAGUUGGACAAUGGGCGAAAGCCUGAUCCAGCCAUGCCGCGUGUGUGAAGAAGGUC